rnacentral:sRNA from 1 species
UGAUAUAGGGAUACAAAGUUAUAUUUUUCUGUGCUUGCACAGAGAAAAAUAUAACCUUGGAGACCGAACAUACAUGAGGAAGUAGAGCAAUAGCUCGGAUUCCGAAUGUAUGCAUGAUUGCGAGAACGUAGUGAAGCAAUCAUGGGUAUCA